rnacentral:rRNA from 1 species
GACGAACGCUGGCGGCGUGCUUAACACAUGCAAGUCGAACGGAAAGGCCCUGCUUUUGUGGGGUUCUCGAUUGGCGAACGGGUGAGUAACACGUGAGUAACCUGCCCCUGACUUUGGGAUAACUUCACGAAACUCGGGCUAAUACCGGAUAGGAUCUCCUGCUGCAUGGUGGGGGUUGGAAAGUUUCGGCGGUUGGGGAUGGACUCGCGGCUUAUCAGCUUGUUGGUGUGGUAGGUGCUUACCAAGCCUUCGACGGGUAGCCGGCCUGAGAGGGUGACCGGCGACAUUGGGACUGAGGUACGGAGCAGACUCCUACGGGAGGCAGCAGUGGAGAGUAUUGCACAAUGGGCGGAAGCCUGAUGCAGCAGCGCCGCGUGCGGAAUGACGGCCUUCGGGUUGUAAACCGCUUUGGCCUGUGACGAAGCGUGAGUGACGGUAAUGGGUAAAGAAGCACCGGCUAACUACGUG